CGCAGCUUACACAUGCAGUCGAGCGGUAACAGGGGGUGCUUGCACCCCGCUGACGAGCGGCGGACGGGUGAGUAAUGCAUAGGAAUCUGCCCAGUAGUGGGGGAUAGCCCGGGGAAACCCGGAUUAAUACCGCAUACGCCCUUUGGGGGAAAGCAGGGGAUCUUCGGACCUUGCGCUAUUGGAUGAGCCUAUGUCGGAUUAGCUAGUUGGUGGGGUAAAGGCCUACCAAGGCGACGAUCCGUAGCUGGUCUGAGAGGAUGAUCAGCCACAUCGGGACUGAGACACGGCCCGAACUCCUACGGGAGGCAGCAGUGGGGAAUAUUGGACAAUGGGGGCAACCCUGAUCCAGCCAUGCCGCGUGUGUGAAGAAGGCUUUCGGGUUGUAAAGCACUUUCAGUGAGGAGGAAAACCUUCUGGUUAAUACCCAUGAGGCUUGACGUUACUCACAGAAGAAGCACCGGCUAACUCCGUGCCAGCAGCCGCGGUAAUACGGAGGGUGCAAGCGUUAAUCGGAAUUACUGGGCGUAAAGCGCGCGUAGGUGGUUUGAUAAGCGAGAUGUGAAAGCCCCGGGCUUAACCUGGGAACGGCAUUUCG
rnacentral:rRNA from 1 species